CUGACCGGAGAGAAUUAUAUAGCUUUCAAGUUAUCAGAUGGUUUGGUGGCAUCCAACUUAUUGAAGACUCAAAGCCCAGUUAUAGAGCCUCCAUCUCACUCCCAAAGACAGAAGAACAAGAAGGUCAAAGAAGUCACCAGUGAGAUCAUAGAGCUGUUGACGGGAGAGGUUCCUAUAAGGUGCCAGGAUGUCACUGUCUAUUUCUCCAU